AUGGGGGGCGUGGGUUCCUCCACGAGUCAACGGCGGGGGAAGGAGGCGCCGAUGGCCGGCCCGGACUACCUGAUGUCCCUUCCGCCUGAGAUGCUCGACGACAUCCUCCGUCGGCUCCCCUUCGAGAAGUUGGUCGGCACCUGUUGUCUCUCCCCUGCUUGGCACCGUCGAUGGGAAUCCGUCCCCGGCCUCGACAUCUGGUUCAGUCAAGGAUCCUCCACCGCACGCGAUCCACGCUUGCUGCGGUGGCCGUGCGCCGCGCCCGUCCACAAAUUCACCGCCCGCAGCCUAUGGCAGUGCACCGCUCCCAUCCGCAGCUUCACCGCCCAUGUCCAAAGGUGCCACUCCCACCGUGCCGCCCGCUGGCUCCUCGCCCUGGCGCACAAGCGCGUCGAGAUGCUCAAGCUCAAGUUCGACAUGCCCUGGCCCGUCCACUUGGCCCGCCCGCCCGUGGUCGGCCCGGCCCUUUACUCCUGCAGCGCACUCACCCACCUCCAGCUCUGUGGCUAUUGCCACUUGUUGCGCGCUCCUCAGGGCUUCGCAGGCUUCCCCAACCUCUUCACCCUCUGCCUCGAGUAUGUGGUCCUCCCUUUCCAUGGCGCCGUGGCGCAACUCCAACUCAUAAUCUCCUCGGCACCGCGCCUCACGAGGCUCUUGUUGGAUGAUGUCAUGAUCGGCGAUGAGGAGGCUGAUAUCGAAACGUGUGCCAUCCAGGCACCCAACCUCCGUUUCCUCAAGUUGAUCAUGACCCUUGACAACGGAUGCCGAAUUGCGGGGGAGCUCCCAUUGCUGAAGGUGGCACAAAUUUCCAUUGAUCCCCUAUUCGGGACCCCAAACUUCAUCAACACUUUCCGACGGAUUUCUAGUGUUAAGAAGCUUUACUUGCUCACCGACUCAGAUCAGACUAUGGAAAAUCCGCUGGAAAGGAUUUUAUGGACGUUCCAGAACUUGAGGGCUGUACAACUGACUGCAAAUUUCGGCAAAUUCCCAAGCAUUAUGUCGAUAUUUUCUUCACUGAGAUUUGGUCCUCACAUUGAAAAACUCAAAAUUCAGGUAAUCAGGCCGGAAGUUGAAACUGGCAAUGAUGAUGCCAUCGAUCAAGAUAUUCUUGAUGCAGUGAUAUAUGAUGACAUGUUUGCUAAUCUCAAACAUGUCUCGGUGGAUCGCCCAAAGUACUUGCCAAAUGACAUGUGGUUUAUGAAGUUUCUGCUAUCAAAAGCAGGGCUGCUUGAAUACUUUUUUGUCAGUUUCAACCAUGGAGAAGAAACCAAAGCUUACGUGGAAGGAUGUAAAGAGUUGGCAAUGUGUGAAAAGGCGUCUUCGGAAGCUAUGCUCAUACUAAGGCCUAGAGACAAGCCUACCCCAAAUCUUUAA
rnacentral:rRNA from 1 species